rnacentral:misc_RNA from 1 species
CGCACAUUGCGCCCCUUGGUAUUCCGGGGGGCAUGCCUGUUCGAGCGUCAUUUCAACCCUCAAGCACUGCUUGGUCUUGGGCCGCGCCGGCGACGGCGGGCCUCAAACGUAGUGGCGGCACCAUCGGUUCCCUCAGUGUAGUAAUAUCUCUCGCUGCUGGGCUUCGGUGGCUGCUAGCCAGUAACCCCUAAUUUUCUCUGGUUGACCUCGGAUCAGGUAGGGAUACCCGCUGAACUUAA